rnacentral:rRNA from 1 species
CCUGGUUGAUCCUGCCAGUAGUCAUAUGCUUGUCUCAAAGAUUAAGCCAUCCAUGUGUAAGUAUGAACGAAUUCAAACUGUGAAACUGCGAAUGGCUCAUUAAAUUAGUUAUAGUUUGUUUGAUGGUAACUACUACUCGGAUAACCAUAGUAAUUCUAGAGCUAAUACGUGCAACAAACCCCGACUUCUGGAAGGGAUGCAUUUAUUAGAUAAAAGGUCGACGGGGGCUCUGCCCGUUGUUCUGAUGAUUCAUGAUAACUCGACGGAUCGCAUGGCCUUAGUGCUGGCGACGCAUCAUUCAAAUUUCUGCCCUAUCAACUUUCGAUGGUAGGAUAGUGGCCUACCAUGGUGGUAACGGGUGACGGAGAAUUAGGGUUCGAUUCCGGAGAGGGAGCCUGAGAAACGGCUACCACAUCCGAGGAAGGCAGCAGGCGCGCAAAUUACCCAAUCCUGACAUGGGGAGGUAGUGACAAUAAACAACAAUACCGGGCUAUUUGAGUCUGGUAAUUGGAAUGAGUACAAUCUAAAUCCCAUAACGAAGAUCCAUUGGAGGGCAAGUCUGGUGCCAGAAGUGUAUAUUUAAGUUGUUGCAGUUAAAAAGCUCGUAGUUGAACCUUGGGAUGGGUCGCCCGGUCUGCCUUCGGUGAGCACCGAUCGGCUUGUCUCUUCUGUCGGCGAUAUGUUCCUGGCCUUAACUGGCCGGGUUGUGCCUCCAGGGCUGUUACUUUGAAGAAAUUAGAGUGCUCAAAGCAAGCCUACGCUAUGUAUACAUUAGCAUGGGAUAACAUCCUAGGAUUUCGAUCCUAUUUUGUUGGCCUUCGGGAUCGGAGUAAUGAUUAACAGGGACAGUCAGGGGCAUUCGUAUUUCAUAGUCAGAGGUGAAAUUCAUGGAUUUAUGAAAUACGAACAACUGCGAAAGCAUUUGCCAAGUGUUGUAAAAGAAUGGGGAAAUCAUGUAUCUUAUUUCUGAAUAAAAGAGUGGCCGACUCUCUCUCCUCCGGACGCGGCCGCGGCUGGGCCUUGUCGUGGCCUGAUGGGCGUUCUAUUCUUGUCUUGGUUAAUAGCAAUCCACUCAUAAUUUAUAACACUCCCCCUUGGAUGCUAUAACCAUAUGGGUUUGUAUCAUGCACGAGGUUGCCUCAUUAAAACGUCUCUAGGAAAACCAAAAACCCAAGGUGGGAAAUAUGGAAACCGUAGACAGGAAAAAGAGUACAACGCACGACACUCCCCCUGAUGAAGGCAUCACUGAAGAUCCUUCAACUGGCACAUUCCUAUCUGAUGAACCAGCUUCUUGAAUGUUGAGGUUGGCAGAGACUUGGUGAAGAGGUCGGCUGAGUUGUCACUGGACCGAACUUGAACCUCUUGAACUUCCUUUGCCUUCUGCAGGUCGUGGGUGAAGAAGAACUUGGGCAGGAUGUGCUUUGUUCUAUCUCCCUUGAUGUAUCCAUCUUUGAGCUGAGCUAUGCAAGCUGCAUUGUCCUCAUAGAUGAUCGUUGGCUCUUCUUUUUCUUUUCCCCCGGCCAGACCACUCUCUUUCAGGAUGUGGCCGGUCAUGUUCCUCAACUAAACAAGCUCUCGGCUUGCUUCAUACAUGGCUAUGAUCUCGGCAUGAUUAGAUGAUGUGGCCACUAAGGUCUGUUUCGUGGUCCGCCAACAUACUGCAGACCCAUUGUGCAUAAACUCAUAGCCUAUCUGAGAUCUAGCAUAAUGUGGGUCAGAAAAGUACCAAGC